AGAAAACAUAUUUCUGUUGUUUAAGCCCCCCCCGUCUGUGGUAUUUUGUUAUGGCAGCCCUAGCAAACAAAUGCCGAUACCUAUCACAUAAUCAGAGCAUGUGUUUUAUGCUCUCUGCUGAAGGUUGAGUUAGUUGCUUUGGAGCCCGAUGAUGGAUAAUAAGACGAGACAGUGGGGAUCAAGGAAGGCUUGCUGAAGGUGGGUAGGAGUUAGCCUGGUGAAGAGGCAGUGGGAAGAGAAUUUUAAUAGAAGGAACAGCAUGUGCUGUCCAGAGGCCUGGAUAUGAGAACAUCACAUAUUUGGGAAACUAGUAGUAGGUUAAUAGGGAUGAAGUCUGGGGUAUGAGUGAAUGAGCAGUGAGAAUCCAGCAUGAGGGUAGUAAGUUUUUAUCACCAUCUAAUACACAUACAUCAUGUACACACAUAAGUGUAUACUCAUUUUGUUUAAUGUUAGUCUCUCCCCACUGGGACGUAAGCUCUUAGAUGUCUUUUUGUCUCUUUUACUAUUGUAUUUUUCACUGCCUAGAAUAGUGCCUGGCACAUAGAAGACAUUCAACAGAAAAAAAUUAUUGAAUAAAUGAAUGAAUCAGUUACAUGAUUUGUUCUUUUAAAAAAAUCACUUUCAAACAAUGGAGAAUCAGACAGCACCGUGGAAGGUGUUUGGAAUGUGGCCCAGGCAGGGAUAACAGUUAGGAGACUGUUGCAAUAGCCCUGUUAAAGUUGAUGGUGGAGGUGUGGAGGAAAUUACUAGACUGACGGGAGAGUUUCUCAGGAGGUAGAACUAAGAGAACUUGUAAUAUGAUUGGGUAUAGAAUUUGAGGGAGAAAGAUCAUUUCCAAGUUCAUGGUGUACGCACUGAAGGAAAGGGUCCUUUCCUGAGGUAAGAAACAUAACAAAGAAAAGUAAAUUUGGGGUGUGGGUUGGAGGUACUGAGUUCAGUUUUGGUCUUGUUUAGCUUUAGGUAGCAGAAUGGCAUCCAAGUCAAGAUAUCUGUUUGAUAGUGACAGAGAGGGGACUCUUUGGACUGGGUCUAGAGUUAGGUAUCUUCACCUUAGAGCUGACACUAAAGCCACGGAAAUGGAUGUGGUUGUUCAAGAAGGAUGUGUAGACAACAGAAGAUAAAAACAAGGAGUAUUUGAGAGUGAAAUAAAAAUAGAAAAUAAGAAAAAACCAGGAUAUCAAAACAAGCAGUAUAAGCAGUGACAAGUUUAGUGCCCUUCCAAAAAGUUCUGAGAAUUCUUUAUUGUUCUGUUUGUCAUUACUUUAUAGAACUUUAAGAAGACUGUGUAAUUCAAAUUCUAGCUCUGAAACUAUAGACUUGGUAAGUGACUUAAUCUCUUUAUAUCUUAUUUUUCUUCAUCUGUAAAAUGGAUCCAAUUAUAACACCUAUCUCUAUUAUAGGUUUGUGGUGAGGGCUAGAUUAAAUAUAUAUAAAACCUUUAGUACACAACGUGCAUGCAGUAAUUGUUAGCACUUAUUAUUUCUAAUCGUUAAGUUUACACUUUAAUUUUUAAGUUUAAUUGUAGACUUUACUUAGUUUCCAGUUAGGAACACUAGUGUUUAUGGCUUUCCAGAUCAACCACAGAUCUCUAGGUGCAGAUUGUUGAGUGUGAUGGAGCAUGAUUUUAGGCUAUGUUCGUGAAUAUGUGUGUAUGUAACAGGGCUAUCUGGAAAAUAUCCAAGUGUAUAAUAUGAAAAAUUAUGAAAAUUAUGGCUGGCGACUUUCUGGACUGCCCUCAGAUAUAAUUAUUAAGAUAUAUAUUAAAACUGAAUAUUAAAUUAUUAAUAUACCUACUAAUUGCUAAUUAUAAAUCGUAAGCCAAAUGAUUUAAAAUGUGAGGCAACAUUGAACAAGAUACAAACUCCAGAGUAAAAUUAAAGUGUGCUAUUGAGUAAAUUUUAUCUGUUAUUGUAUAAUCAGGAGCUUACUGUUUUUUUCCUUUUUGUUUUCAGAUGGAUCUGUACAUGAGUACUUUGAAUAUCUAAAAGUCCUGGAUCCCUACACAUUUCCUAGCUCAUUAAAGUUGGUAAAUUUAAGGAAUCCUGCAGAAACAGCCUGUCUCAGAAGUCUCACCGGUGAGAAGAUGCUGAACGGUGGCUAAAAUUUUGGUUAGAAUCCUUGCUCACAAUGCCUUGCUGAUGGUAUUGUGGAAGCAGCUAUCAAAUCAGAGCAUCAGUCUUUUCUGUGCCAGAAGUCAACCAUCUGUCACCUGCUCAGAAGAGUAUGGAAAUUAUUGUCACAUCUACAAGCUAAACACAUGAAGCAGCGUGUGUACCAUACCAACUGUCUUCAUCGCCUUCAAGCUUCUCACUCUGCACAUAUUCUCUCCCGCCAGCUUUCAGGAGUAAUCAGCAGCAAUCACAGUGAUUAGGGAGAAACGAAGGGGCUAGAAAAUGAGCAUCGCCUUCCAAAUAGUUCCGCAUAAGGCCUGAGCAUGGCCUUAUGGCUACUAGGAUGGCAGGCGUCUGGGAGGGGUGAUUAAUAUGCAGACCACACCAGCCCUUGCUUACUAGAUCUUACAGGAAAUAGAAGUAGAAUCUGUAGGAACAGGAUGAUUCAUCACCGUAUGUGGGCUAAAAGGGGACAGGUGAAAGUAUUAGCUACCUACGCCUUCAGCAGAAAGCUCUAAUCAUUAUGUUAGUAAUAGAACUGGAGAUGCCCUUCUCAGGCAGUGGGGAUGGAGAACUUCCGUUAAGUCUUGGUUCUUAAAGGGGCAGAGUGUUGGCAACAACACCUGGAAUGUGCUUGAAGUGCAACUUUCCAAACCCACUGACACAGAAGCCCUGGAGAUGCGGCCCUGCAAUCUGUGUUUUACGCAGCCUUCCAGCCGAUUCUGAUGCUAGCCAAAAUUUGAGAAUCACUGCAUUAAAGCACAUAAAGAAUAAUACACUCCUGGUGCCACUUUUUGAAAAUUAGUACAUGUAGGCUAACUCUUGUUUGAAAUUGAUGUUCAUAAUUUAGGGAAUAUAUUUGCGAUGGAAAAAUGUUCAUUAUUUAGAACCACUAGUACCUAAGAAUUAUUGAUUGUGUUCCAGGAAAGUCUAUAAUCUCAGGCUCUCUACUGGGUUAGGGUUAUGCAAAGCUGGGCCUGGGAUUGAUUCAGAGAAUAUCGAAUUUCUCUAAAUAACAGAGGUAGGAUUAUUUAGGAUUUUCUUGGACAUUGUGGGAAGCGGAGUGGGAGAAAGGGACAGGCAAAUAGUGAGUGACCCAGGUAGAGUGUCCCUGUAAGAAUCCUUGGAAAGGAGAGAAAUGGAAAUGUCUUUCAGGAAAACAUUAAGCUGCUAACUGGGCAGUGCUGGGCAGCAACCCCUCCUGGAACCUCCCCAGUCUUCUCCGAACACCCUGCUAAGGGGCAGAGCUGUGAACAGCUGUGUGGCAGGAGGAAGGAUGGUAAUGAGUCCAGGGGAGUCCCACAUUUGGGUCUGUGCCGAGGAUGCAGAAUAGAAGAGCUGGCGGGUAUCCAGCAAUGCCUGAGAAUUCCACAGAAGCGGAUAAUUGAGGCCGCGGCACAGAAGCCUCCAAAGUUCGCGGAGAUGUUGAGGAGGACAUUGGACUUUUUUCUUAGGCCGCAGAAUGGAGGGUUGAGCCAAACUUUUCUGGAUUUUAAAGAGUGCGGUGGUCAAAGCUGACAUUUGGGCUCCAUGUUUAUUAUAACAGUUGAGUGUUUUUUUUGUAGUGAAACUUGUUAUCCUGUGAAAGAGAAUGGUAUGAAAAACCUGCAUAAUUUGAUUUAAAGCUUUGGAUGAAGAGGAAAGGGCCUGAAAUGGCUGAGUAGCAGCCCUCUGAGUGACUGAUGCCAGGCCACGGUUUCCCUUUCCGACCUUUGGUGAUACCCUCUUGUUAUCCCUGCUUCCCAUGAGCUCAUCCUUGCAGGACCUUCUCACCCGUCACAGGGGCCUCUCGGAACUGUGUCCCUCCCCUUGUUUCCUUGUUCCCAGCGAACAUACUGGCACCCUGCUCAGCAAAGCGCCCCGUCAAAAAUGUAAAGUGCUCCAACUAAAAUGGAUCUGCACUCCACUUCAUCAACUUGAAUUGCAAGCAGUAUGUCACAUUUACCUGAAAGGACAUGGCCUUUUACCCCCCAAAAGACAGACUUUUUAUGGUAGCCUCAGGGUCAGGCUGUCAGUCAUGCUCUAACUCUCUAAAGGAGAAAACCAAGCCAUCCACAACCUACAGAAUCGCAUGUGGGAGAGCCUGCCUGAGGUUACAGAGUCCCUUAUCUAACAGAUCAAAAGGCUGAAGGAUAAAUGAGAUGCCCCUGCUAAAUAGAGAGCUGUUUCACAACACGACAGCCUCUCAAGGUCCCUUCUGUCAAUAAAGUAGAGAAAGGCAUAAGAUCCUCUUCCCUCUGAAGUGUUACUUGGAAGAAUCCAUGUCAUGUAAUCUAUUAUAACCCCUGCAAAGCCUGGAAUGUGUCGUUACUGCUUAUCUCAGAGUAUCAGAGAAAGAUUGGAGAUGAUAGAUUCAAGCAAUAUUAUUUUUUUCUUACCUAGGUCAAAGUGAACCUUUUGAAAAUAUUAAUACUUAACUUGUGAGUAUAUUAGAUAGGAUGCUGUUGCCUGCUUCCAACUAAUACAAAGUGAACUUAAAAAACUGAGAGUAUAUUGGAUCAAAUUCUUCCAUUGUUUUAGUAGAUUUUUAGUUACAUUGCAUUUUUAGGGACCACUGAAGAUCCUUUUUAAUUUAAAAAAUAUAUAAGAUAACCUAAAAAAUUUCCAAAUGUUCUAUGGUCCAAAGGUAAAAAAGAAAAUUAUGGUGCCUAUCAAAUGAAAUUUCACAAGCAGGAUAAUCUGUAAAUGUGUUUACUGCAAUGCUGCUUCCCUUUUUAAAAUCUAAUCAGAGGCAUGCUUACUGCCUUUCUUUCCUUUUGCAUUUGUGAUGAACUAAAGCAAUCUCACAAAAAAAGAGUAACAUUAAUAUUUGUAAUGCUAUCUUUUUAAAUAAAGAUGUCUUUCAUACCUAUAUACAUUUAAAUAAAAUAAAUCAACUUAUGAAUAUAAGUUAUGUUGUUAAUAUAUUGUGAUUCCUCAUGUCACUCAAAUAUCCUCUCAACAAAAUGUUCUUUCUUGACAGUGCUCUCUCUCCUCCUCCCCUGCCUGGCAUUUCUUCCUGGAAUCCUCCAAGACCCCACACCCCUGGCCCUUUAUAUGUGUUGGCCCUCCUGCUGUGAAGGCCCUUAGUACAUGUAAUCUACCUCACUCUCUGUCAGCGCCAACUCCUAAUUGUCCUUCAGCUGAGGCAUUAACCAGAGAAAUCAAGGAUCAGUGCACUUUAGAUGUGCCGACAAGGAAGUUGAUUCUGCAUAAGGUUAGAAGACAAGAUUAUCAACAAAGGAAUCUCCAAAUUUUUACAUUUGUGCUUGACUUAGUCUGUUUAGGCUGGUAUAAAAGAAUACUGUAGACUUGGUGGCUUAGGCAGCUAACAUUUAUUUCUCGACAAUUCUGGAGGUUGGGAAGUCCAAGAUCAAGGUGCUGGUAGAUCCCAGGUCUGGUGAGGGCUCACUUCCUGGUUUGCAGACAGCCGGCUUCUUGUAUCCUCACAUGGUGAAGAGUGGAAAGAGAAGCAAGCUCUCUCACGUCUCUCCUUAUAAAGGCACAAUCCUAUUCGUGGGGACUCUAUCCUCUUGACUUAAUCACCUUUCAUAGGCCCCCAUCUCCUAAUACCAUCCCUUUAGGGAUGAUUAGGAUUUCAACAUAUGAAUUUGGAGGGGACACAAACAUGCAGUCCAUUACACUUGUCCCUCUUUACCAAUUCACAUGGUCACAAAGCACCAUCUACAAAUGAAGUCUUCAGUGACACACUGCUUAUUCUAAUCUGCCCUUGUCAACUACAGGUACUGCAUGAAAUAAAGGAUGUCAGGCUCAAUUAGUAAUAGAUACUCAAAUAUUAUAACCUCCCCACCCCAGACUAUUUAAAUAUACCUCAUUGUUCAGUUUAAAUGCCAAGUCAAUGUUGGGGUGCCCAUCUGCUGACCUUGGCUUUUGUAUUUAUGGGAGAGGAAUUGGGUCAAAGAAAGUGGGGAGAGCAUACGUAGCAAUAUUGUGCCAUCUAUAUACCACUGUGAUUUUGUGAAUGAAGAAAACCUCGCAUUACUUGGAAUUGGAAAGAUAUUGGGCAGCUGGAAAAAAAAAAAAAACCAGAAAAAUUGAAAAA